UACGGAGGAUCCGAGCGUUAUCCGGAUUUAUUGGGUUUAAAGGGUGCGCAGGCGGGAGAUUAAGUCGGCGGUGAAAUUUUGCAGCUUAACUGCAGAACUGCCGUUGAUACUGAUAGUCUUGAGUUUGGUUAAGGUAGGCGGAAUGUGUAAUGUAGCGGUGAAAUGCUUAGAUAUUACACAGAACACCAAUUGCGUAGGCAGCUUACUGAGCCGACACUGACGCUGAGGCACGAAAGCGUGGGGAUCAAACAGGAUUAGAUA
rnacentral:rRNA from 1 species